rnacentral:rRNA from 1 species
UACGAAGGGGGCUAGCGUUGUUCGGAAUUACUGGGCGUAAAGCGUAUGUAGGCGGAUCGUUAAGUCGGGGGUGAAAUCCCGAGGCUCAACCUCGGAACUGCCUUCGAUACUGGCGACCUUCGAGUCCGGGAGAGGUGAGUGGAACUCCGAGUGUAGAGGUGAAAUUCGUAGAUAUUCGGAAGAACACCAGUGGCGAAGGCGGCUCACUGGCCCGGUACGUGACGCUGAGGUGCGAAAGCGUGGGGAGCA